rnacentral:rRNA from 1 species
AGCGAACGCUGGCGGUAGGCUUAACACAUGCAAGUCGAACGGCAGGACAGUAAGAGCUUGUUCUUACGGGUGGCGAGUGGCGGACGGGAGACGAACACAUCGGACUCUAGCUUUUCGGGGGGGUUAACGUAGCGAAACCUACGCUAAUAACGCAUACGAUGCAUCCGUGGCAGGAUUGGAUCUUCUGAGCUUGCGCGAUUGCAUGAGCCGAUGUCGGAUUAGCUAGUUGGCGGGGUAAAGACCCACCCAUGCGACGAUCCGUAGCCGGUCUGAGUGGAUGAUCGGCGACACUGGAACUGAGACACGGUCAAGACUCCUACGGGAGGCAGCAGUGGGGAAUAUUGGACAAUGGGCGCGAGCCUGAUCCAGCCAUACCGCGUGGGUGAAGAAGGCCUUCGGGUUGUAAAGCCCUUUUGUUGGGAAAGAAAAGCAGCAGGUUAAUACCCCGCUGUUCUGACGGUACCCAAAGAAUAAGCACCGGCUAACUUCGUG